GCCUUCCAGGCAGCAUGUCACUUGAACAAUAAUAUGUUUGCCUGAGUUAUUUUCCAAGAACUUGGAGUCAGCUGUGGCUAGUUUCAGCUGAGCAGGCUUAGACUAAAUAGGACCACAAACCCUUCAACUGGGCAUGCGUGAACGUCUUCCAUGCCCUUUUGAUUUUGGACGGCUGCAAACCCCCCUCAGAACGUGCGGAUGCCUGGAGCCUAGUUAAACCUGCGCGGAAAGACAGUGACUGCACUUUUCUCAAGUCACCUUUCCCCUUUCCUGAGGGCCUCAUACUGCACUGCUUCUCUCCUCUUUAGCCUAUAAACACCUUGCCUUCAGGGAGGUUGGGUCAAGAUUUGUUCUCCCAAUCUUCCCUUGCCUGUUUUGCGAAUGAACCCUGUCUUUGCUGUAAACCUCUGCAUCUCAGCGUUUUGGCUUGCGAGAUGUCAAGCAAGAGGACCCUGGUUUAGUCGCUGGUUCAGAGAUCUCCUUAGCUUUUGGCUGCACAAAGAAUUGGAUUCAUCAACUAAGAAUUAAGAAGAGGUUAGGAAAAUUCACAUUUCCCCAGAGCCAGCCAUCCCACCGUGGCUUCAUCACAGAAGUCAUUUCAGUUUCACCUCAAUUAGGUCAAGGAAUUGAAGUCUGAACUACAGUGGCCCAAGAGAAAUGCUCAAGUCUAAGGCAGAACCAGGACCCUUGCCAAUCUGACUCCUACAGGUCCUCAGCAGGGAAGGAUUUUUCAUCAUGAAUUAUUACAUGAGUUUUCCUAAAGGGGCUCAUUCCUUUUUUUAAAAUAUAUUUUAAAUAAAUGGCUCAUAGUCAUCAUCAGCUUCUGUGUUUACUUAGGAGAAAUAUUGCUGCUUAUUCUGGACUUGGAGAAUAUAGACUGAGUUCCAUUUUUAACUGUAUGACUUAUUACCUAUGAAACCUUGUCAGGCAGCCUCCCUUCUUUCAACUGUUAUACACCAUAUAAUUCAGUGUUUUCUUAAGAAUUAAAAUUUGUCACAGGCAGAACAAAUGUUAAUUUUUAACUUGAUAUCUGGAAUCCGAGAAUCCUUACUGAAGAGUGGCGAGUUAACUGAGAAAUGACUUAUGCACGAAUUCUGAAUGGUACUUCAGUUGAUAUGUAAACCAAAUCAAUCACCAGGGCUGAAUGGGUAAUUGUAGAGCACUGAGUAAUUGAUCAGUUACUGAAAAGAACUGUCGGUAUGAGGCACAAUUAUAAAACCAGUGCUUAGUGGAUUGACCAUUCAUUUACAUUGUCUUCCCACCACAUUCCUUGCAGUGGCUUUUCUAAACCUUCUCAUUCAAGCCCAUUCCCUCCUGCCUUUUCCUGAACAGUCACUGCAGUGUUCAAUCAAUGGGCCUAAUGACUGCCAUACAAAGCAUAGCAGCCUGCUUUCAUGGAUCAUUUUUAAGGCCUCUUAUCUUCUGUCUCUUCAUCAGCUCAUCAUUUUCUCCUUUUUCAAAUAUUUUCUUCGUGAAGAAGUCUUUGAACUCUAGAUUUACUGUUCCUCCAAUCAAAUGAAUCCCUUCCCUAAAUUAUUAUAAAUCACUACUAAUAUUCUUUUACAAGACUUGACUUAACCUGUUCUCAUGAUAUAGAAAUUGACAAUUUUGUUGACUAAGUAUACUGUUUUACACUUUAUAUAUCUUUGAUAGGAUCUGGGUCUAAGUUAUCUUUUUGUAGUGCACUAUCCGAAGAAAGCUGAGCGCUGAGGAAUUGAUGUUUUUGAACUGUGGUGUUGGAGAAGACUCUUGAGAGUCCGUUGGGCUUCAAGGAGAUCAGUCCUGGGUGUUCUUUGGAAGGAAUGAUGCUAAAGCUGAAACUCCAGUACUUCGGCCACCUCAUGCAAAGAGUUGACUCAUUGGAAAAGACUGAUUCUGGGAGGGAUUGGGGGCAGGAGGAGAAGGGGACGACAGAGGAUGAGAUGGUUGGAUGGCAUCACCGACUCAAUGGACGUGAAUUUGAAUGAACUCUGUGAGUUGGUGAUGGACAGGGAGGCCUGGUGUGCUGCAAUUCACGGGGUCACAAAGAGUUGGACACGACUGAGCGACUGAACUGAUCCACAUUAAAUGCUAUGUUUGUUUAUUCUCAACAAGGGACUUGACUUUACAUAGUCUAUUGUAGGUGUUCAUUAAAGUUGAUGGUUAAAUCAAGGGCACUUUGAAUCAGUUUUAAAAAUCAAAGCUGUAAGUACAGUAAUGAGAAAAGCAGAGUUUUUGCUAUACAAUAUUUGUUUCUUUGCAAUUUACUCUCAUAAUGUGCAAUGCAUUAAUGUGACCAGGAAGCUGCAACAGGAAAUACAUGUAGUAGGUCUAGUGAACUUUUUUUUACCAAAAUGAUUCAAAGAUACCACGAAAUAUGAAAGUGCUGAUAUGGAUUGGCUAAGUAUUUACCAUUUCCAAUCUAGGUCCUGUCCUUAACAAUGUUCUGGUUCCCCAACUAAUCUUAACACUCUAUUGUCAGCAUUUUUCAUGGAAGGAAUGCAGAAAUUUGGAGAAAGAAGUGAAAUUCAACAAUACACUUGAUUCACUGUCCUCCGCAACAUGGGCCUGGAUAUUUUCUCAUUCUAUGCUGAUUUCCACCUUAUUGCUUCUUUUUUUCUGGCCUCGGCUAACUCCCAAGAAAGAAGUAGGAUGUAUUUUAUUAUUUAUGAUAUACACAUAAUCUAUAUAUCAGUUCGGUUCAGUCUAAUUUAGCAAUGAUGAGACAGAAUUCAGUAGAUAGAAUGGAACUGAUUCAGAAGACAUCUCUUUUUAUUUGAAGGAAGGUGGGCCAGUUAUCUGAAAGGAAAAACAAUAUUUUCCUAAUGUAGAAUAGUGCCUUAAAUGAGUGACCUAAGAUUGCCCUAUGUCUCUGCCUCUGUUCCCUUCCCUCUUCCUCAACAAUAUAUUGGCCCUACCUGUGAGGAACUUGUGAAAACUAUCUCACUACUGUUAAGAGAGUCAACCAAAUGACUCCAGUUUGUGAAGAACAUCCUUAAGUAUGAGUGGCAUAACCUUCGCUAAACUACCCAUCCCUUCUUUUCCUUUGGUUCUCCAUAAAACCCCUAAUGGCUGGGAGGAUUUGGGGAAUGGCUUGUUCAGUCAAAGAACCAGUUAUUCAGUUAACCUGGGUAAUUGUCAUCUUAUCAGUAUCUAGAAAUAAUAAUAAUUGUAUUUAUUAAGUAGUAGUUCUUUUUCGGUAAUUUAUAAAGUAGAGGCUUGUGGCCCAUUUCUUUUCAUGUCUAUCUUCUGUUCCUUCAAACUUGGUUUCUCCAUUCUUUAUCUUAAACUUAGAAGUAAUUUAGCCAGUACAAUGAAUCUAAUUUUGACGUGCAAACCAGUCUGAAUUCUGAAACAUGAGCUGAGUGAUUUAGAUUGAAAAGAAAGGAGAAUUUUAUUUUAUUUUUUUAGUGAAAAAACUUCUGCAACUAUCAUACCCACCAAUUGAAUGGCUCCCUAUUCAGCAGGUUAUAAACAAACAUUACUUUAACUAGAAGAUUACCAUGAUUUCCAGUUACAAAUUGGACUCAUAAAUUUGCAUAUUUGUCUUGAGAAUAUCUUUUUUUCAGUUUGAAUUAUGAACAGUUAGCCAUUCCUUAAGAGUUUGGUUCUUUGAACAACUGUGUGAUACAAUUUCCCCUUCCUUGUCAAAGAAAUAAAAAAAAAAAGAGGCAAAAUAGAAUUGAUUUAAUGGUGAGUGACUUGACUCUUUCAUACUAGUAACAAAUGAAAGGUUCUGAAAAUGUACCUCCUCUAUCUUUUGCUUAUUUCCAAAAAGAUACCUGACAUCUACAUAUGCUAUUGUGUGUUGGCAAAGGUGAUUUAUGUAUAAGCCAGAAGAAAAGCUGUCAGAAAUUGCUGUCAUAGUGUUCUUGUUCUAAAUAGUUGAAGUUGACAGUGUCUCACAAGAUCCAUAACUGGACAUACGACUGUUAAGCAAAAGAAAGAAUUUACUGGACUCUGAUCAUCCUGCAGUGAAAAAAAAAAAUUUAAAUCUCUCUUUUGUUUUCAUGUGUUUAUUCAGCUUGUAGUGAAAGAAUGGGAAGAGAGAUUGCUUGUUAGUACACUGUGCAUGAAAAGUCAAUUUUUCUUUUGCAGGCAAAUGGGAAGUAAAUCAGUUUGUGUCACUUCACUUAGAGUGAGAAAACUAUUAAAACAACACUGUCAGUACCACAGCAUACAUUCCAGUUCCGUCAAUUCUUGAUGUCACUUUGGAUAAUAUGUUAUUGUAGGGUAGUCCAAAAU
ensembl:lncRNA